rnacentral:rRNA from 1 species
AACGAACGCUGGCGGCGUGCCUAACACAUGCAAGUCGAGCGCGAAAGAAGGGGCAACUCUUUGAGUAGAGCGGCGCACGGGUGAGUAACACGUGGGUAAUCUGCCCUCAGGUCUGGAAUAACCCGGGGAAACUCGGGCUAACACCGGAUGAGACCACGAAACGAAGGUUUUGUGGGAAAAGCGGAGGAUCUCUUCGGAGACUUCGCGCCAGAGGAUGAGCCCGCGUCCCAUCAGCAGUUGGCGGGGUAAUGGCCCACCAAGGCUAAGACGGUAGCUGGUCUGAGAGGAUGAUCAGCCACACUGGAACUGAGACACGGGUCCAGACUCCUACGGGAGGCAGCAGUGGGGAAUCUUGGACAAUGGGCGAAAGCCUGAUCCAGCAACGCCGCGUGAGUGAAUG